GAUGAACGCUGGCGGCGUGCCUCAAACAUGCAAGUCGAGCGGGGCUAUGUAAUAUCGCAAGGUAGAACAUAGCCUAGCGGCGAACGGGUGAGUAACACGUGGGUAACCUGCCUGGAAGACAGGGAUAACGAUUCGAAAGGGUCGCUAAUACCUGAUAAUAUCCUUUCAUCGCAUGGUGAUAGGAAGAAAGGGGAAACCCGCUUUCAGAUGGGCCCGCGUCCCAUCAGCUAGUUGGUAAGGUAAAGGCUUACCAAGGCGACGACGGGUAGCCGGUCUGAGAGGAUGUACGGCCACACUGGGACUGAGAUACGGCCCAGACUCCUACGGGAGGCAGCAGUUGGGAAUCUUAGGCAAUGGACGAAAGUCUGACCUAGCGACGCCGCGUGAGGGAAGAAGGCCUUCGGGUUGUAAACCUCUGUCAUGGGGGAAGAAGUAAGUGACGGUACCCCAAGAGGAAGCCCCUGCUAACUAUGUG
rnacentral:rRNA from 1 species